UACGUAGGGGGCAAGCGUUGUCCGGAAUCAUUGGGCGUAAAGAGCGUGUAGGCGGCUCGAUAAGUCCGAUGUGAAAGCCCGGGGCUCACCCCCGGAAGUGCAUUGGAUACUGGGAAGCUGGAGUACCGGAGAGGAGGGUGGAAUUCCUGGUGUAGCGGUGAAAUGCGUAGAUAUCAGGAGGAACACCUGUGGCGAAGGCGGCCCUCUGGACGGAUACUGACGCUGAGACGCGAAAGCGUGGGGAGCAAACAGG
rnacentral:rRNA from 1 species